rnacentral:rRNA from 1 species
AGCGAACGCUGGCGGCAGGCUUAACACAUGCAAGUCGAGCGGGCAUCCUUGUGGUGUCAGCGGCAGACGGGUGAGUAACGCGUGGGAACGUGCCCUUCGGUUCGGAAUAACUCAGGGAAACUUGAGCUAAUACCGGAUACGUGCGAGAGCAGAAAGGUUUAUCUGCCGAAGGAUCGGCCCGCGUCUGAUUAGCUAGUUGGUGAGGUUAUGGCUCACCAAGGCGACGAUCAGUAGCUGGUCUGAGAGGAUGAUCAGCCACCCUGGGACUGAGACACGGCCCAGACUCCUACGGGAGGCAGCAGUGGGGAAUAUUGGACAAUGGGGGCAACCCUGAUCCAGCCAUGCCGCGUGAGUGAUGACGGCCUUAGGGUUGUAAAGCUCUUUUCUCCGGGACGAUAAUGACGGUACCGGAGGAAUAAGCCCCGGCUAACUUCGUG